GAAUUGUUGUUUAAUGGUUUUGAAUCUUGGCAUUAAUAAUAUUUUUCCUAUGUUUUGUUUUUUCUCUUGUUGUGAGCCAACUUGUUAAUAUCAAGAAGGAUAUUGACAAGCCAGAAUGUGUCCAUAGAACAGCAACCAAAAUGAUCAAAGGUAUGGAAACCAAGCCCUAUGAGGAAUGGAUUAAGGAGCUGAGUAUGUUUAGUUUGGAGAACAGAACACUGAGAGGACACAUGGUUUUGUUGUUUACUUGUUCAGUCACUUCCGACUCUUUGUGACCUCAUGGACCAGCCCAUGCCAGAGCUCCCUGUUGGCUGUUGCCACCCCCAGCUCCUUCAAGGUAAAGCCAGCCACUUCAAGGAUACUAGGUUGGAAGAUGGUCAAAAUGCUGCUGGGGAGGAACAGAGGAUAAGUUCAACUAGCCCCAGAGGUGAUGACAGAGUUAGCUCAAAGCCGAAAGGAAGGCUAACGACCAUGGUGCUGGAGGUUCCUUGUAAUCGAAUACAAUGAUUCCAGUUGCUUCCUGUCUUCAUAGCAGUGGAUGAAGUCUUCACUUGAGAUGUUCCCCAAAGCCCUUGUAGCAGCUUCAUGGACAUUUUCAACAGUCCCAAACAAAAUGAUAUACUUUGCAGUGGAUUUUGAGCAUUGGGAAAGAAAUUGCACAGAGCCAAUCUAACUAGAACUGGCUGGAUCAUAAUGUUCUAGCUUGGUUACCACCUGUGUUGAUAUUGGCCUACUACUGCAAGGUCCAUAAAAUAAUCAUAUCAGUUUGAUGGUUUCUCACCCUGAAUACAUGGAAUUAUAUCUCAUUUGGCUUAUUAAAUGUAAUAAAAACUAUCCUCACUUUGA